CAAACAAGAAGGAAAGGGGGUGCUGUUGCUAGGGGUGCUUCUACUGUGGUCUUACCAUCCGGCUGCUGUUGUUUUUAUUGCUGUGCCGUUGGCCCAUCCUAGAAGAAGACCGCGUAAACGGCGAGCUGCGCUCUGCCCCUCUACCUUCACCCUUUUGGCUACUCCAGAGAACCGUGUGCCCUUCGCAUGGCUACGUAGAAGUGCUUGACCCACAGCUAUACAUAACGAGUUUGGCACUUCCUCGCACGUCAGCCAUGUGGCGCCCUUCACGUGUCGCACGAGCCGUUGCGGGACCGUGCGUCGCGCACCACCUGCCCGCGUCAUUCUUGGCAUGCGUUGUUGUCACCCCUUCACCCGCAUCUCUGUCGUGGAGGUGCGGCAGCUCCUCGAUGCUGUGCGGGUCUUCGACGCUCAUCGCGGACGGUGGUGUAGCUGCGCUUUCGCAUGCGCGCCGCUGCGGGUCGGCGAUGGGCCGCGUCGGCCAGGCGAGAGGCGCCAGAGGAGCAGCCAAGGCAAAGAAGGAGGCGGGCGCGGUUGACAGCAAGGGCGCAGCAUCCUUGUCGCGGCGAGCACAGCCGAUUGCCGCGUCUGCCCAGCAGAGGUCAGCCUCAUCGCUACCCACCUCUAUAAACGCGGACGAGCAGCUCGAGGAGAGUGUAGCGUUUUCUAUUCGAGGCAGCUCUUCACAAGAGGAAGCAGCUGAGUCAGUGGAGCAAGAGAGCAAGAGAGCCGGCGGCAAUCUGUGCCCAUCCCCGCCAGCACAACGUAAACGCGCGAGUCUCCGCUCAGCACGUGGCCGCGGCAGCGCUCGACGACUUGAAGCGACGGAGGCUCGCGAUGCCGUGGACGAAACGGACGCCAUCAUGGGCGGCGACAGCGACGAGUUUUCAGAGCCACCCACAGAGGACCCCAUGGGUACCACUCUGGAGGAGGCGUUUGGUGGCGAUGAUGAGCCCAAGAGGGAGAGCGGCGAGCGAUGUAGCGGCAGCGGCACCGAGACACGCCUGGACGGUGUUACCCAGGCGGAGGAAGGCGACGGUACGGCUGUGACUCGGCGAGCGCGACGCUACAAUCUCAAGACGUCGAUUGUCGACGCGGACGCUGGCGAGGCCGAUGCAACCAGCACGUCUUCGCCAGAAGACAGCGAAGAAUGUGCGGCGGACACGGCGGCUGUUGACGAGGAUACGGCAAACCGUUACUUGGCCCUUGCGUUUCCCGAAUUGGCGGCCGAGUACGCUGCUGCAGGCGACGGUGCCAACGCCAUCCCAGUGAACGAAGUCAUGACGGACUCGGCGGUGGUCGCGGCGUGGCGCUGCGUCAAGUGCGACCACGUCUGGCGUAGCGGUGUGUUCGUGCGAUGCAUCCUCAAGAGCGGAUGCCCGCAGUGCGCUGCAAACCGGACCUCGACGCUGGCGAAGGCGCGGCCUGACCUGCUUCAGCUGUGGGACUACAACCGCAACAACCCGUUUCUCAAGCCUGAGGAGAUCUCCGCAGACAGCAGGGAGAGUGUUUUUUGGAAGUGUCCAAUGUGCCGCGAGAGCUAUGCUGCUCGUGUGAAGGACCGGGCUCUCGACAAGGUCAGAUGCCCAUCAUGCGCGCUGCUGCGUUCUCAGUCGGCCGCUGUGCUGGCCUCGGAGGAAAGCGUUGUGCUGCAGGAGUGGCAUCCGCUAAAGAACGGCGAUCUCCACAUAGAGCAGCUGUCGCCGACGGACACGAAGACAAAGGUGUGGUGGCUGUGCGCUGGGUGCGGACAUGAGUGGGAAGCCUCGCUUGCCGCUCGUCUCGCACGCUGGCGGCGUAGCAGGAGAAGCCUUUGCCCCGUGUGCCACGGAAAGGGUGUGACAGAGCUCGUGCAAUGAAGAGACACAAGGGGAGAGGCGGUAGCAGGAGAUGGAGGCGCGGUGGAGCCGACACCUCACACGCGCCUCUGCGCGUUUUUGUAUAAUGGCGUCCGCCGCUUGGCUUUUCUUCACAAAUUUGUUUGCCGACUUUGUUGGUUUGUUCGCCCCAUUUGAAGGGAAGCAGCGAUGGCCGCCGUUGGUGCGGUCCUUCUCGGCCACCACCCCUUCCCUUCAUCCUUUGCUCGUUUUUUUUUGUGUUUCGUGUGCUCUCACCGCCCUCAAGCGUUUCCGUGCGUGUGUGUGUUUUGCUUCUGGUUGGUCUUGCAUUGCGUCAACAGAGAAAGAGAAUCAUCGCUCGCUUUACGUGGAGUCUUUCCCCCGUCCCCGCCCUCUCCUCAGCCACCUCCCUCAUACACAUGCCCUCCCGUCUUGCGUGUGUGGGUGUGUUCGCCAGAGUGUCGCCAAGGCCAUCCAACCAGCAGCGAAGCGCAGAAGCCGAAGCG
rnacentral:misc_RNA from 1 species